GACGAACGCUGGCGGCGUGCCUAAUACAUGCAAGUAGAACGCUGAAGGAGGAGCUUGCUUCUCCGGAUGAGUUGCGAACGGGUGAGUAACGCGUAGGUAACCUGCCUGGUAGCGGGGGAUAACUAUUGGAAACGAUAGCUAAUACCGCAUAAGAGUAGAUGUUGCAUGACAUUUGCUUAAAAGGUGCAAUUGCAUCACUACCAGAUGGACCUGUGUUGUAUUAGCUAGUUGGUGGGGUAACGGCUCACCAAGGCGACGAUACAUAGCCGACCUGAGAGGGUGAUCGGCCACACUGGGACUGAGACACGGCCCAGACUCCUACGGGAGGCAGCAGUAGGGAAUCUUCGGCAAUGGACGGAAGUCUGACCGAGCAACGCCGCGUGAGUGAAGAAGGUUUUCGGAUCGUAAAGCUCUGUUGUAAGAGAAGAACGAGUGUGAGAGUGGAAAGUUCACA
rnacentral:rRNA from 1 species